AUUCAAUGAAUGCCUAGUCCAUCAAUUGGAACGGGGGAAUCAUUUUAUGGGGUGAAAUCGUGUAUACGAUCGGGCACCUUUCAACCGAACCCGUCAGCUAACCUCGGAGGCAUGGGAAAGGGAGAGU
rnacentral:sRNA from 2 species